ACGAACGCUGGCGGCGUGCUUAACACAUGCAAGUCGAACGGUGAAGCGCCUUCCUUUUUGGUGGGUGUGGAUGAGUGGCGAACGGGUGAGUAACACGUGAGUAACCUGCCCCCUUCUUCUGGAUAACCGCAUGAAAGUGUGGCUAAUACGGGAUAUUCUGGGUCUGUCGCAUGAUGGGUCUGGGAAAGAUAUUGUUUCGUUGGGGGAUGGGCUCGCGGCCUAUCAGCUUGUUGGUGGGGUGAUGGCCUACCAAGGCGGUGACGGGUAGCCGGCCUGAGAGGGUGGACGGUCACACUGGGACUGAGACACGGCCCAGACUCCUACGGGAGGCAGCAGUGGGGAAUAUUGCACAAUGGGCGCAAGCCUGAUGCAGCGACGCCGCGUGAGGGAUGGAGGCCUUCGGGUUGUGAACCUCUUUCGCCAGUGAAGCAGGCCUGCCUCGUUUGUGGGUGGGUUGACGGUAGCUGGAUAAGAAGCGCCGGCUAACUACGUG
rnacentral:rRNA from 1 species